rnacentral:tRNA from 1 species
GGUCCCGUAGCUCAGCUGGGAGAGCGCCUCGCUUACACCGAGGAUGUCGGGGGUUCGAUCCCCUCCGGGACCGCCU